GUUGAGGGCAAAUUCUGUGUUUGCUGACUGCACAUUCUCCAUUGUUGCAACCUGGGAAGGAAAUGAGAGAGAAAGAAAACUCAAAAGUUUUCCAGGCAAGUGGAACGCAACACAACACUGGACUUGGAGUCAGGAAGAACUGAGUUCAAAUCCUCCUUCAGACACUAGCUGUGUGACCCUGGGCAAGUCACUUAAACCUCUUUCAUUCUCAUUUUUCUCAUCUGCAAAAUCUACAUCUUUGGGUUGUUGUAAAUAUCUGAGAUAACUGAGAUAACAGAUACAAAAUACUUUUCAGACCUUAAAGUGCUAUAUGUGAGUUCUCAUUCUUGUUGUUAAUAUGUUAGCUUACUUAGUCUUGAUUAAAGGUACUGACUGCUUGCA